UAUACCUACGUGGCUCACCAUUAGAUGAUUCAACAUUAUUAAAAACCCACUUUUCCCUUCUUUUAAAAUUUCUUCUUAUUCAACUUUUAGGUUCUUUAGGUUUCAGCUGAACUCUGAUGUCAAGUUCCACUCUUCAAGAGCAAUUAUCUUUCUGCAUCAACUUUGGAACAUCAUUUCUCAUGGCAGCUUUUCAGACCUCUCCAUGGAAUUUGAUUUCUGUGAUAUUAGGAGCAAUGUGCCUUUUGUUGAUGGCCACUUUGGGAAUUUUGUGGAACUAUUGUAAGGAAUUUUUAUAAAUUUUAAAGUUUUAUGAAGAUUAAUACUGUGGUUAAAUUAUUUCAUAAUGGAGCUUAUAUUUUAUUAACAUGUAAUAUUUUACUAUUUCAUGGAUACACUUAAGCCUGGACCUAACUACCUAAAUUUCUAAUCAUCCCAUAUAGCACAGACUAAACAAAGUCUUCUGUCCACAUUGUCUUCAGGACCCACCAGUGAAGCCCAGGAAGGUAGGUGUUUACUCCUAGCUCACACUUUCCUCUCAAUCUUCCUUCGCUGCUGCUGUACUUAUGCCUUAGUAUACAGUGUCCUAGUUCUGCAAUGCUAAAUCCUAUUCAUCCAGGGAGUCUCAACUCAAAGUCCAAUUUUGAAUUUUCUAGUUUUCCCCAAGUGAAUGCCAAGUCGUCUCACACACUGAUGUGAUCAUAUAGCACUUCACUGAUAUUUUUUCCCUUCAGCUUCAGAGCUAUUCAUUUUUCAAGUAUUUAAAUUACCACCAUGCUUCAUGAGUUCUGUUACUGAAGAUAAGAAAUGUUAUGGAUGCUAUCACUGCUAAACCAUAUGAUCAGACUUCAGAUUAAUUGUUUUGUCUUCACUUUUGAAAAAACUUACUCAAAACAUAAAACAUAAUUGUGUCAAUGCAGUGUUCUUUGCUCUCUCACAAAAUAUGCUGAAAUGCUCUCUUCCUUUUAAUCUAUCUGGUUAAUUCCUUUUUCUAAGGUAGAGCUUAGCCUUAGGCCACCCAGUUAAAUAUAGUUCUUCUCUUCUCUUGCCACCCCAUGCUUUGCUACAUGCUGUUUUAGCAUACUAAUUUUUUUGUAAACUUAUCAAAUUAUUAUUCAGUAUAAUUAAUAUAUGUUUGAAAUUUCAAUAAUUCUAUCUGUAGAAUAAAAUUUCCAUGAAGAAAGAAGAUCGUGUGUGACGAAUUCACGUUUAUAACCCCUGAAAAUAGCAACUUACAGUGAAUAUAGUAGAUUCUCAAAGAUUAUUUGGAAGAAAAAAUUGAUAAAUAACAAAUUUUUGAGUAGUAAUGAACAGUGGAAAUUCUGAAAUCUCCAAUUUCAUCAAUCAGGUUGUAUUUUUUCUCAGGUUCUGACUGCCGUUCUUGCCAAGAAAAGUGGAUUGGGUACAGAUGCAACUGAUUAAUAUACAAGGCAGAUUGUUACAAAAUUAUUUUGAAAAAUAUGUUUUCCAUGUGAGUGUUUCGGAGUUUAUAAGGAAAGAGGAUAUCUAAGCCUUGAUCACCGGAAAGUAUAAUUUUUUUUCUUGCCCAAAUUCCUUGCUUUAUGCUUAUUCAUCAGUAAAAGAAUCACUUACUUAUAUAUUGACUGUUUUAUUCUCUGCUCAAUCCCAAAGAUUCCUUUACUAAAAGUCAUGUGAGAAAUACUGCAAAAUUCCCAUUGAGGGUAAGGGGAGAGCAGGUCUAUUUUUGAGGAUUUUCUUCGGAAAUAGAAGAGGCCCGGGUAUAACAAAGAGGUCUGAUGCUCAUGGUGUGACUGAGAUCUUCCAGUCCUCACAGCCACCAAAAGCCAAUUUCCAUUUACAGCUGUUGCAGGUUCAUCUUCAAAAAUUUGGAUUCACAGCCCUAUUUGUUUUCCGGUUUUAUAUUUCAGUCUAAUGAAUAUAAUUAAGUACCAAAGUUAAUUUCCAUAGAGAAAGAGCCAGAAGAAAAAAGAAUCUCUUAUGUCUUAUUUCUCAAAAUUUAAAUAUAAUAGGAUUACAAAACAGAACUCUUUGCACUCAUGUAUGAAAAUUGAUUUAGGAAAAAUAUGCUUAAGUUAUAUGAUGAAAGUGGUAGGUUAGAAUGUAUCACCUGUCUUAAUACAGACUAAGAUGGCUUACGCAUUGUACUUUCUGGAUAUUUAAAAUGUUUUGGCUGUAUGGUCCAUGUGUUUUCAAAAUAAUACAUUUUAACUAAACUAAAAAAAAAAAGGAAUACCUACAGGUUUUUCUCAUUGUGUUUAUGUUAUCUAUUGCAGUGUACCGAAACACCCCAUACUUAAUGGCAUAAAAACUCUCAGGUCCUUAUCGCUUGUGUUUCUGGGGGUUGGCUGGGGAGGGGUCAUCUGGGGUAGCUCUUUUUUCCACCCCUAGGCUCACCUGCAGCCACAAUUUGCACUGCAGCAUCCCUGACAGCAGCCACAAGCCCGGCCCCUUGGCUGGGAUGGCAGGAAGGCCG
rnacentral:lncRNA from 1 species